GAUUUUCCAGUGUCUGUAGAUGCCACAAAAGCACUAAAACCUGAGAACGAGUUGCGGUGACAGCACAGAUGGCUCCACUUGGGCUAUUAAUGGGGUUUAACCUCAGCAAACUCUAUGACCUGACAGUCCUCUGCAGGGUGCACAGUUAUUAACAGCUGAUGUCCAGCAGUGAGAGCCCGAGGGCUGACCGGUCAAAUUCUGAAGUGAUUUAGAAGGCUAAUCCCAAAAAUGGAUAUGAUGGUGAAAUCAGAUUUAUUCAUUUAUUUAUUUUUUAUGAUGCAAUUUCUAUAAAACCAACACAUAACCAAAAGCGGCAUUUAAAAAAACAAUAUUAAAAGAAAACUUGUCAUUAUAUUUUUAAAAUGUAUUCUUAUAUGCAACUAAGAGGAACCUCAUUUAAAUUUAAUAGCUUAAACUUGUUUACUUUUAUUUAUAUUUAAACAUAUUUAUUAAAAUUUAUUUAAAUAUAAACUGAAACGGGCCUCGUAACAAAAGUAGUCUCUGCUUGCGCUUGAAAAAGAGCCCUGCCCCCUGCCAAUGCCACCAAAAUUAAUAAAAAAAUGCCCACAAAAUUAAAGAUAUGGUUGUUUUUAAUAUUUAUAAAGAAUAUAGCGAUUUAAACCAUAUCACAUGAGUAAGAGAGCUGUUUUCCGGAAUAUCUGCAUAUUUGCAAAUUUCAUAUUGAUUUUAUACAACAGUUAAAUGAACGAGAAGUUAAUAUUAGGUAACUUACAUUUUAUAUAUAGAAUAUAUUGUCUGUUUUUGCUCUAUUUCAACAAUGAAAUUAAUUCCAAACUAUCCAUAGUAGAGCCAUUGCACGUCUCCGAGCAACACUAGCAAUCCUAUUAACUAGCAGUCCUAGUAAUAUUUCUUUACUGAAUGUAUCUGCGUUUAUGAAAGAAUCAUUCUAUUGAAUUAUUUAAUAACUCAUUCAUAAAGACAGUUUCUGCGUCCCAAUUCACCUACAUAUAAUAUGCCCUAAAAUGAUGUAGGCCUACUGUUUUUGUGAGGCCAGCUUUGGCACAUUCCACUUCGUCAUUUCCGUCUCUAAUGCGUCAUAUAUCUUAGUUAUGUGCAUCCUGUCACAGUUCAAACUGCCCUGUCAAUCAUCUUGUUACAGUUAAAAUCCUCGAGAUUCAAUUUAAUUUAAUUUCCUAUCAUAUCAGAGAGAAACAUAGUAGGUCUCGCACAUCCGCCAUGGUUGUAGUUUCUUAACACUUCUUAUUCAUGUUUGUAGUUCUAACAGAAUCCUCUUCCAACGCAAGAUCUGCACUUUGGAUUCUAACUGGAAAAAGUAAACUAUCCAGGUAGGGGCACCAUCCGAUUUGGGACACUGUGGGUGUCCAAACUGCGUUUUUGAGCCCUUGAAGGGCACUUCAGGAAGGGGACACCAUUUGUAGGAACAUUCCAAAGAAAAAACAAACAACUGAAUCAGUGAACAACUGAAUCACUGAACAACACAAGUCUGUUAGCGAAGGUAACAUGCAAUGCUCACUUCAAGGAAGUAAUUUAAUCGUUUAUGGUCAUGUGACUCAGGGUGACAAGUCCUUGUCAUUCAUUUUAAAUCUAGAUAUAGAGAGUUGGACUUAACGUAUAAACAGAAUAAUUCAAGUUGGUUUGUUUUGUUGUGAUAUAGUACACACAUUUUCAUCAUGCAUUUCAUAUUAAGUUUUAAAAAGUUUCAUAGGUAAGAAAUGUGUUUAAUGCUUAACUUAUAAAUUUAAGAGCAGAUCAGGAACACACACACACAUAAAGCAUGUCAUAAUAAAUGUACAUUUAUUUGUAUCAUAUUAAUAGCAAUAAUAAGAUAUUCCUGUUGUCGCUGCCUAGCUUUGUCAUGGUAACAUUCCAUGUGAAGCUAAUGAGGAAGUUAAGAAUGUUGUGGGUGUGUGCGAAAAAUCGCAUGAUAUACAAUCCUUUAAACACAUGAAAAAUGUGAAGGCGCCCCCGGUGGCCAUUUUCUUUUGAAUUUCUCACAGGCCACUUGGGCAGUGAGUCAAACAGAGGCCUGUGUUAACCUUGUCUGAUAGCUGCUCAAACUUUUAGGGGAGAAUGCUGAUCCUUGGAAAUUGUAAUAAUUACAAUAGAGUUUCAGCGCUAUGUACUUGAACCCCUAAAUAUAACAGAUAAUAAAGUAAUUGCAGUUGCACUGCAUAAAAUGCUUUUGUCUUUCUUUUUUUUUUCGUCAUAUGGGGGCCUACGACGGCCUCCGAACUGCAAAGGCCGCCUCUGUGUGGGUGUUUGUGUGUCACAACAAAGCUGCACCACUGUUGAAUUUAUCCUACCUGUUUCUUCAUGAAGUUAGUCUGGACGUCCUCUUUCAGAUUCUGUUUCCUGUGCUUGUGUUGGCUGAGGAGGUCAGGAGGUCACUGAGAUUAUGACCCGAGGCCAUCUGAGGGUCAAACUUUCUAAAGUGACAUCAAGAAAAAGGGGUAAUCAAGACAAGUUCAGUUUUCUGGAAAAAUCAGGGGCUACGAGGAAGACGAUAACAACCUGUCAAUCUCUGACGCCCGGCAACACUUUGAUUUAGCGAUGAUUUAGGUACAAAACCAGAGACUCUCCCUCCUCGAAUCCGGCCUGGUCAACCGUCAAAGCCAAAGGAGACGCAUUUAAAACUCAUGUUACUGGUGUAAACAGAGAAACUUCUCGGCUGACCACUUGUAAGAUCACAAGAGACGGAUCUCAGUACCAGCUCUGUGGCGAUGCUCUCACAUUUCUGUGUUGUGAUGUCAGUUUUAGCGAACUACUGCCCUCUACUGUAAGGAAACCGUAACUGCAGUGUAAGUUCACUACAGUGACUCCUCACUUCUUCCUCCAGAAACUAGAAAAAAAAACACUAAUAUACAAUAAAUAACUAGUUUUAUGGAUUUGGAGCAAUUCAGCUGUAAAAACUCGACGCAGCCGCACAAGCAGCUAACUAGUCUUAUAGCAUAGCAAAUAUUAAAAUUGUAAUCAGACAUUUGAAAUAAUACAUGGAAAAAUAAUUGUUUGAAAAAAAUGGUUUAUUUUUUUAGUAGUGUACAUUUCCAGAAUGUGUUUUCAGAGUUAACCGUAACCCUGUAAAAGUAACAUUACGUAUAUAUACUAAUAACACAUUAAAUUCACAGCUCACAAAUGCAGAUAUUACAUAAAAUAAACAGUACAAGGGAAACAUUAAUGCUUGUAAAACCUCAAAAAAAGCCCCAGGGGAAUGUAUAUAGCACUGGAUAUAUGAAACUGUCAGUAUUGCAGUAGUGUUUUUUUUUUUGUUUGUUUGUUUGUUUUCAUUUAACUGGAAUCCCACUGAUAGGUCACCGAUAAUGACCUCAUA